rnacentral:rRNA from 1 species
GUCUAUGGCCAUACUACUCUGAAUCCACCCAAUCUUGUCUGAUUUCAGAAGCUAAGCAGCCUCAGGCUUGGUUAGUACUUGGAUGGGAAAACACCUAGGUUCUUUAGCUU